UACGUAGGGUGCAAGCAUUGUCCGGAUUUAUUGGGCGUAAAGAGCUCGUAGGCGGCUUGUCACGUCGGGUGUGAAAACUCGGGGCUCAACCCCGAGCCUGCACUCGAUACGGGCUAGCUAGAGUGUUGCAGGGGAGACUGGAAUUCCUGGUGUAGCGGUGAAAUGCGCAGAUAUCAGGAGGAACACCGGUGGCGAAGGCGGGUCUCUGGGCCGAUACUGACGCUGAGGAGCGAAAGCGUGGGGAGCAAACAGG
rnacentral:rRNA from 1 species